rnacentral:lncRNA from 1 species
CUCUCGUCUAUUUUUUCCGUGAAUCCUACAUCCCGUUGGGCGCCAAUUAUGUCUAAAUGGCUGUCCUGCGCCGCGGUCUCCGUGGCGCAAGCUCCAGAGGCGGCGAUCGGGUACACCUGGCCCCGCUGAGGGGGAAGGUGGUUGCCGUUUGGGCAACUAAGAUGAAGAAGAAAAAUCUGAAGAUUUUGGUGAGAGAGUGACUGUCCUCUAUCUUGUUGGCACUUAAGUCUCAUCAAUAUAAUUAGGUUAAUCAAUUGUUUACGACUUUCGUCGGAGUUGCUCCGAACUAUCCAUUCAUUUAUGCGUCAAAACUUUAUCUGACACUUAAUUAUUAACUUAACCGAAACAUACCCGGCGAGCCGGAUGCUCAUAAACGGAAAAUGCUG